rnacentral:rRNA from 1 species
UGGGGAAUAUUGGGCAAUGGGGGAAACCCUGACCCAGCAACGCCGCGUGAGGGAAGAAGGUCUUCGGAUUGUAAACCUCUUUUACCAGGGAAGAAGAAAGUGACGGUACCUGGAGAAAAAGCCACGGCUAACUACGUGCCAGCAGCCGCGGUAAUACGUAGGUGGCAAGCGUUGUCCGGAUUUACUGGGUGUAAAGGGCGUGUAGGCGGGAAGACAGGUCAGAUGUGAAAUGUCGGGGCUCAACCCCGGAACUGCAUUUGAAACCGUUUUUCUUGAGUAUCGGAGAGGCAGGCGGAAUUCCUAGUGUAGCGGUGAAAUGCGUAGAUAUUAGGAGGAACACCAGUGGCGAAGGCGGCCUGCUGGACGACAACUGACGCUGAGGCGCGAAAGCGUGGGGAGCAAACAGG